GGGGCUGAUUCUGGAUUCGACGGGAUUUGCGAAACCCAAGGUGCAUGCCGAGGGGCGGUUGGCCUCGUAAAAAGCCGCAAAAAAAUAGUCGCAAACGACGAAACCUACGCUUUAGCAGCUUAAUAACCUGCUUAGAGCCCUCUCUCCCUAGCCUCCGCUCUUAGGACGGGGAUCAAGAGAGGUCAAACCCAAAAGAGAUCGCGCGGAUGCCCUGCCUGGGGUUGAAGCGUUAAAACGAAUCAGGCUAGUCUGGUAGUGGCGUGUCCGUCCGCAGGUGCCAGGCGAAUGUAAAGACUGACUAAGCAUGUAGUACCGAGGAUGUAGGAAUUUCGGACGCGGGUUCAACUCC
rnacentral:tmRNA from 1 species